AGAGUUUGAUCAUGGCUCAGGACGAACGCUGGCGGCGUGCUUAACACAUGCAAGUCGAACGGUGAACCUGCUUCGGUGGGGGAUCAGUGGCGAACGGGUGAGUAACACGUGGGCAACCUGCCCCUGGCUCUGGGAUAACUCCAAGAAAUUGGGGCUAAUACCGGAUAUGACCGCUGACCGCAUGGUCUGGUGGUGGAAAGAUUUAUCGGCUGGGGAUGGGCCCGCGGCCUAUCAGCUUGUUGGUGGGGUAGUGGCCUACCAAGGCGACGACGGGUAGCCGGCCUGAGAGGGUGACCGGCCACACUGGGACUGAGACACGGCCCAGACUCCUACGGGAGGCAGCAGUGGGGAAUAUUGCGCAAUGGGCGAAAGCCUGACGCAGCGACGCCGCGUGGGGGAUGACGGCCUUCGGGUUGUAAACCUCUUUCAGCAGGGACGAAGCGCAAGUGACGGUACCUGCAGAAGAAGCACCGGCCAACUACGUGCCAGCAGCCGCGGUAAUACGUAGGGUGCAAGCGUUGUCCGGAAUUAUUGGGCGUAAAGAGCUCGUAGGCGGUUCGUCGCGUCGGCUGUGAAAACCUGAGGCUCAACCUCAGGCCUGCAGUCGAUACGGGCGGACUUGAGUACUGCAGGGGAGACUGGAAUUCCUGGUGUAGCGGUGAAAUGCGCAGAUAUCAGGAGGAACACCGGUGGCGAAGGCGGGUCUCUGGGCAGUAACUGACGCUGAGGAGCGAAAGCGUGGGGAGCGAACAGGAUUAGAUACCCUAGUAGUCC
rnacentral:rRNA from 1 species